AUCCAGCUGACGAGUCCCGAAUAGGACGAAACGCGCGUCAUGGAU
rfam:Schistosoma curassoni strain Dakar, Senegal genome assembly, scaffold: SCTD_scaffold0003423